rnacentral:misc_RNA from 1 species
GCGGCGCGUGAAGCGGGA